rnacentral:rRNA from 1 species
AACGCUAGCUACAGGCUUAACACAUGCAAGUCGAGGGGAAACGACAUCGAAAGCUUGCUUUUGAUGGGCGUCGACCGGCGCACGGGUGAGUAACGCGUAUCCAACCUGCCCACCACUUGGGGAUAACCUUGCGAAAGUAAGACUAAUACCCAAUGACGUCUCUAGAAGGCAUCUGAAAGAGAUUAAAGAUUUAUCGGUGAUGGAUGGGGAUGCGUCUGAUUAGCUUGUUGGCGGGGUAACGGCCCACCAAGGCGACGAUCAGUAGGGGUUCUGAGAGGAAGGUCCCCCACAUUGGAACUGAGACACGGUCCAAACUCCUACGGGAGGCAGCAGUGAGGAAUAUUGGUCAAUGGGCGAGAGCCUGAACCAGCCAAGUAGCGUGCAGGAUGACGGCCCUAUGGGUUGUAAACUGCUUUUAUACAGGAAUAAAGUUAGCCACGUGUGGUUAUUUGUAGGUACUGUAUGAAUAAGGACCGGCUAAUUCCGUGCCAGCAGCCGCGGUAAUACGGAAGGUCCAGGCGUUAUCCGGAUUUAUUGGGUUUAAAGGGAGCGUAGGCCGUCUGUUAAGCGUGUUGUGAAAUGUAGAUGCUCAACAUCUGAAUCGCAGCGCGAACUGGCAGACUUGAGUGUGCGCAACGUAGGCGGAAUUCGUGGUGUAGCGGUGAAAUGCUUAGAUAUCACGAAGAACUCCGAUUG